rnacentral:sRNA from 1 species
UUGUUUACAGUGACUUACUGAAUAUCUGCUUUUAUUUUGGGUAUUCAAAAGGGUCAAUAUAAGCGGAAGAAUUGGCUUUAUCUUGAUUUGUACACUGACGACAAUAAAUUUAAAGUGACUUACUGAAUAUCUGCUUUUAUUUUGGGUGUUCAAAAGGGUCAAUAUAAGCGGAAGAAUUGGCUUUAUCUUGAUUUGUACACUGACGACAAUAAAUUUAAAGUGACUUACUGAAUAUCUGCUUUUAUUUUGGGUGUUCAAAAGGGUCAAUAUAAGCGGAAGAAUUGGCUUUAUCUUGAUUUGUACACUGACGACAAUAAAUUUAAAGUGACUUAUUGAAUAUCUGCUUUUAUUUUGGGUGUUCAAAAGGGUCAAUAUAAGCGGAAGAAUUGGCUUUAUCUUGAUUUGUACACUGACGACAAUAAAUUUAAAGUGACUUACUGAAUAUCUGCUUUUAUUUUGGGUGUUCAAAAGGGUCAAUAUAAGCGGAAGAAUUGGCUUUAUCUUGAUUUGUACACUGACGACAAUAAAUUUAAAGUGACUUACUGAAUAUCUGCUUUUAUUUUGGGUGUUCAAAAGGGUCAAUAUAAGCGGAAGAAUUGGCUUUAUCUUGAUUUGUACACUGAAGACAAUAAAUUUAAAGUAACUCCCGCUAAAUUAAUAUAUGCAUGUCCGGCAAACCCAACCCAUUCGAGACUCAGACGGUAGGCUCCUAGUAGACGACGAUGCUCAACUUGAG